rnacentral:rRNA from 1 species
UACGUAGGUGGCGAGCGUUUGUCCGGAUUUAUUGGGUUUAAAGGGUGCGUAGGCGGCUUUGUAAGUCAGUGGUGAAAUACUCCAGCUUAACUGGAGGGGUGCCAUUGAUACUGCGGAGCUUGAGUACAGAUGAGGUAGGCGGAAUUGACGGUGUAGCGGUGAAAUGCAUAGAUAUCGUCAAGAACACCGAUAGCGAAGGCAGCUUACUGGGCUGUAACUGACGCUGAUGCACGAAAGUGUGGGGAUCAAACAGG